rnacentral:snRNA from 1 species
GUGCUUGCUUUGGCAGCACAUAUACUAAAAUUGGAACAAUACAGAAAAGAUUAGCAUGGCCCCUGCUCAAGGAUGACAUGUAAAUUCGUGAAGCCUUCCAUAUUAAA